AUUGAACGCUGGCGGCAGGCCUAACACAUGCAAGUCGAACGCGUGGCGGACGGGUGAGUAAUGUCUGGGAAACUGCCUGAUGGAGGGGGAUAACUACUGGAAACGGUAGCUAAUACCGCAUACCAUCGGAUGUGCCCAGAUGGGAUUAGCUAGUAGGGGGGGUAAAGGCUCACCUAGGCGACGAUCCCUAGCUGGUCUGAGAGGAUGACGAGCCACACGGGAACUUAGACACGGGCAAGACUCCUACGGGAGGGAGAAGUGGGGAAUAUUGAAAAAUGGGCGCAAGCCGGAUGCAGCCAUGCCGCGUGUAUGAAGAAGGCCUUCGGGUUGUAAAGUACUUUCAGCAGGGAGGCGUUACCCGCAGCAGAAUCACCGGCUAACUCCGUGCCAGCAUCCGCGGUAAUAA
rnacentral:rRNA from 1 species